UCAACAGAGGGAAGCUAAGCAGUGAUGUGGAGCAAAUCCCCAAAAGCAGUCUUAGUUCGGAUUGUAGGCUGCAACCCGCCUACAUGAAGUCGGAAUUGCUAGUAAUCGCGGAUCAGCAUGCCGCGGUGAAUACGUUCCCGGGCCUUGUACACACCGCCCGUCACACCAUGGGAGUCGGUAACACCCGAAGUCGGUAGCCUAACCGUAAGGAGGGCGCCGCCGAAGGUGGGAUUGAUGACUGGGGUGAAGUCGUAACAAGGUAAC
rnacentral:rRNA from 1 species